rnacentral:rRNA from 1 species
CACGUAGUUAGCCGGAGCUUCCUCCUUAGGUACUGUCUUUUUCUUCCCUAACGACAAUGGUUUACAAUCCGAAAACCUUCUUCCUAUACGCGGCGUCACUGCGUCAGAGUUUCCUCCAUUGCGCAAUAUUCCCGACUGCUGCCUCCCGUAGGAGUCUGGGCCGUAUCUCAGUCCCAAUGUGGCCGUUCAACCUCUCAGUCCGGCUACUGAUCGUCGCCUUGGUAGGCCUUUACCCCACCAACUAGCUAAUCAGACGCAAGCCCAUCUAUUAGCGGAUUGCUCCUUUCCCACUACCACCAUGUGGUGAUUAUGGCAUAUGCGGUAUUAGCAAUGAUUUCUCACUGUUAUUCCCCUCUAAUAGGCAGGUUGCUUACGUGUUACUCACCAGUCCGCCACUAACCGCUUCAAUUUGUAAACAAACUGAUUAAGUUCGUUCGACUUGCAUGUCUUAUGUGCGCCGCCAGCGUUUUAUCCUGAGCCAGGAUCAAACUCU